AUUGAACGCUGGCGGCAGGCCUAACACAUGCAAGUCGAGCGGAUGAGAGGAGCUUGCUCUUUGAUUCAGCGGCGGACGGGUGAGUAAUGCCUAGGAAUCUGCCUGGUAGUGGGGGACAACGUUUCGAAAGGAACGCUAAUACCGCAUACGUCCUACGGGAGAAAGUGGGGGAUCUUCGGACCUCACGCUAUCAGAUGAGCCUAGGUCGGAGUAGCUAGUUGGUGAGGUAAUGGCUCACCAAGGCGACGAUCCGUAACUGGUCUGAGAGGAUGAUCAGUCACACUGGAAAUGAGACACGGUCCAGACUCCUACGGGAGGCAGCAGUGGGGAAUAUUGGACAAUGGGCGCAAGCCUGAUCCAGCCAUGCCGCGUGUGUGAAGAAGGUCUUCGGAUUGUAAAGCACUUUAAGUUGGGAGGAAGGUCAGUAGCUUAAUACGUUGCUGAUUUGACGUUACCGACAGAAUAAGCACCGGCUAACUCUGUGCCGGCCGCCGCAGUAAAAC
rnacentral:rRNA from 1 species